rnacentral:rRNA from 1 species
GACGAACGCUGGCGGCGUGCUUAACACAUGCAAGUCGAACGGAAAGGCCCUGCUUUUGUGGGGUGCUCGAGUGGCGAACGGGUGAGUAACACGUGAGUAACCUGCCCUUGACUUUGGGAUAACUUCAGGAAACUGGGGCUAAUACCGGAUAGGAGCUCCUGCUGCAUGGUGGGGGUUGGAAAGUUUCGGCGGUUGGGGAUGGACUCGCGGCUUAUCAGCUUGUUGGUGGGGUAGUGGCUUACCAAGGCUUUGACGGGUAGCCGGCCUGAGAGGGUGACCGGCCACAUUGGGACUGAGAUACGGCCCAGACUCCUACGGGAGGCAGCAGUGGGGAAUAUUGCACAAUGGGCGGAAGCCUGAUGCAGCAACGCCGCGUGCGGGAUGACGGCCUUCGGGUUGUAAACCGCUUUCGCCUGUGACGAAGCGUGAGUGACGGUAAUGGGUAAAGAAGCACCGGCUAACUACGUGCCAGCAGCCGCGGUGAUACGUAGGGUGCGAGCGUUGUCCGGAUUUAUUGGGCGUAAAGGGCUCGUAGGUGGUUGAUCGCGUCGGAAGUGUAAUCUUGGGGCUUAACCCUGAGCGUGCUUUCGAUACGGGUUGACUUGAGGAAGGUAGGGGAGAAUGGAAUUCCUGGUGGAGCGGUGGAAUGCGCAGAUAUCAGGAGGAACACCAGUGGCGAAGGCGGUUCUCUGGGCCUUUCCUGACGCUGAGGAGCGAAAGCGUGGGGAGCGAACAGGCUUAGAUACCCUGGUAGUCCAUGCUGUAAACGGUGGGUACUAGGUGUGGGGUCCAUUCCACGGGUUCCGUGCCGUAGCUAACGCUUUAAGUACCCCGCCUGGGGAGUACGGCCGCAAGGCUAAAACUCAAAGGAAUUGACGGGGCCCCGCACAAGCGGCGGAGCAUGCGGAUUAAUUCGAUGCAACGCGUAGAACCUUACCUGGGUUUGACAUGGAUCGGGAGUGCUCAGAGAUGGGUGUGCCUCUUUUGGGGUCGGUUCACAGGUGGUGCAUGGCUGUCGUCAGCUCGUGUCGUGAGAUGUUGGGUUAAGUCCCGCAACGAGCGCAACCCUUGUUCACUGUUGCCAGCACGUUAUGGUGGGGACUCAGUGGAGACCGCCGGGGUCAACUCGGAGGAAGGUGGGGAUGACGUCAAGUCAUCAUGCCCCUUAUGUCCAGGGCUUCACGCAUGCUACAAUGGCUGGUACAGAGAGUGGCGAGCCUGUGAGGGUGAGCGAAUCUCGGAAAGCCGGUCUCAGUUCGGAUUGGGGUCUGCAACUCGACCUCAUGAAGUCGGAGUCGCUAGUAAUCGCAGAUCAGCAACGCUGCGGUGAACACGUUCCCGGG